rnacentral:tRNA from 1 species
AGUUCUAUAGUUUUAAUUAAAACAUCAGACUGCAAUUCUGAAGAUGCAUACAUUGUUAGGGCUU